GAUGAAGAACGCAGCGAAAUGCGAUACGUAAUGUGAAUUGCAGAAUUCAGUGAAUCAUCGAAUCUUUGAACGCACAUUGCGCCCUUUGGUAUUCCAAAGGGCAUGCCUGUUCGAGCGUCAUUUGUACCCUCAAGCUUUGCUUGGUGUUGGGCGUCUUGUCUCUAGCUUUGCUGGAGACUCGCCUUAAAGUAAUUGGCAGCCGGCCUACUGGUUUCGGAGCGCAGCACAAGUCGCACUCUCUAUCAGCAAAGGUCUAGCAUCCAUUAAGCCUUUUUUUCAACUUUUGACCUCGGAUCAGGUAGGGAUACCCGCUGAACUUAAGCAUAUCAAUAAGCGGAGGA
rnacentral:misc_RNA from 1 species